AUAGAAAAAGAGGCCAACUUGGUUGUGUAAGAAUGUUUCUACUAUUUAAGGUGAUUUAGUUGGUAAUGGGUGCAUCUUGUCUUCAGCCCCAGAGGCUGAAAAGAUUUGGUGUAAAAAUAAGACGCAACACGUGACUCAAACUCUUAUGUAACCGAAAAAAACUACAGUUGCAGCUCGAGAGAUCCGAUUUUAGAAAGGUAUGCUAUAAUCAGUAACCUGUUGUGGUGAAUGUUUGUUGUUUUGCAUUGUGCCACGAUGACACGUCUUUCAAACAUCCAAAGCACUCAUCGUGUUGACAUGGACACAUGACGUCAUCGACAUCGCCGUGGCAAAUUGAUGAUUGGUGGAUCGAUCGCCGGUCCUCUGUAAUAAAUAGCCAGAGCAAAACACAAACAGAACACUCUGACAGCGCGAGAAGACAGUUCACUUGUUAUUACUGAGAAUCGCUGACCAUAAACAAGGAUUGUAUUUUGGUGGAUUUUUUUUCUGAGAAAAUGGACUGCAAACAUGUUUCCUAUGAAGAUGGUGGCAGCGGCGAGAGCGCCGAUGAAUGGAAGCCACGACAACGCAGUGCUAGUACUUUAUCUGACCAGCUUCUAGAGGAAUAUGCAAAAACAGAAGAGAGCAAUGAAACGUUCAAGAAGAAAUACGACGAAGCGCACAAAAAUGUCUUCGGAUCGAAAUCCAACGAACAUUAUGAUCAUUCGCCGCUGAGCUUAAACGACAAGGUGAACGCGGCAAUCCAACAUGAACUUCAUGCUGUUCCAGAAAUCAAAUUCUUCUUGUGAAUUGUAAAUUAGUGAAGCAUACAAGGUGACAUUGAAUGCUAAAGAUAUGGACACUUGAACUUCAAGAUCAAAAAAGACAUUCAUCAGUACAGUAGAACAAGAUUUAAGAACGCUUCACUCAAAGGACAAUUAAAAUUUGACUGUAGAUAAGGCAUUGAGUAAAGAAGGCCGUAAAUUUUCUCUUAUUGAUGAAUGGCGUGUCAAAACUAGGAAAGACACUUUAAAUGGAACUUUAGGGUCGAACUACGAAUUGAAAGAUUUUUGUACAGAUGAUUUCUACUUAAAAGUAUUCAUACAAAUAACUUAUAAGGAGUUUAUAAAAACUAUGGUUUUGAAACCAAACAAACAACGUAUUUUGGUGAUUUUUCUGUUGUAGGAAUCGGUUCUUUUUCUAUUUUUUAGAAUAAGACUUACGGCUGUACUCAACUAUUUUAUGAAGAAAAUCUCUUUAAUUGAAGUUGUAGUAGAGUAAGAGAUGUUUUGCGUCAUACCAGUUGGAAGCUUACUCGACUUAAAGAUUUUGUACAAAGAUUAUAUUUGUAAAAUGGACUUGUAGUCAAUCAUAUUGUAUAUAAAUAAUGGCAUUUUUGUACUAUAGAGAAUUUCAAAUCGAAAUAUAUUCACAUAGCUGAGAA